GGGUGUUUGUGGUGGGGCUGCGGAGUUGCCGAUCCCGCCGGAAGCGCCAGGACAAUGGGGACCCGGGACGACGAGUACGACUACCUAUUCAAAGUGGUGCUCAUCGGGGACUCGGGCGUGGGCAAGAGCAACCUGCUGUCGCGCUUCACCCGCAACGAGUUCAACCUGGAGAGCAAGAGCACCAUCGGCGUGGAGUUUGCCACCCGCAGCAUCCAGGUGGACGGCAAGACCAUCAAGGCGCAGAUCUGGGACACCGCUGGCCAGGAGCGCUACCGCGCCAUCACCUCCGCGUGCGUGUCAGCAGCCUGGGCAGGGACACUGAGAUUCGGGGGCAUGGGCGUGCAGCACGUGGGCUUGGAAGGUUGUGUAGGAGUUGGGCAGGAGAAGGGGAGAGUGUGCUCCCAAGAGCAGGGAGUGAGGCUGGAAGAACACCUUAGCCAUGUGCCAUGGGACCCUCAGGCUGACCAGCGCCCAGCCUUGGCCGCACCAGGGUAUCUCUGGGUACCAAGGGCAGUGAGGACCUGGCUCAGGCCACUCCGCCUUGCUGCUGCCCCUGCCCAGCCAGCAUCCCAGC
rnacentral:sRNA from 1 species